rnacentral:rRNA from 1 species
GAGUUUGAUCGUGGCUCAGGACGAACGCUGGCGGCGUGCUUAACACAUGCAAGUCGAACGGAAAGGCCCUGCUUUUGUUGGGGUGGCUCGAGUGGCGAACGGGUGAGUAACACGUGAGUAACCUGCCCUUGACUUUGGUAGUAACUUCAGGAAACUAGGGGCGUAAUACCGGAUAGGAGCUCCUGCUGCAUGGUGGGGUUGG